rnacentral:rRNA from 1 species
CUCAGGAUGAACGCUAGCGACCGGCCUAACACAUGCAAGUCGAGGGGCAGCGCGGAGUAGCAAUACUUGGCGGCGACCGGCGCACGGGUGAGUGACACGUAUGCAACCAACCCAUAACAGGGGGAUAACCCGGAGAAAUCCGGACUAAUACCGCAUAAGACCACGAUAUCGCAUGAUAUAGAGGUCAAAUAUUUAUAGGUUAUGGACGGGCAUGCGUCUGAUUAGCUAGUUGGUAAGGUAACGGCUUACCAAGGCGACGAUCAGUAGCCGGCCUGAGAGGGUGAACGGCCACACUGGAACUGAGACACGGUCCAGACUCCUACGGGAGGCAGCAGUGGGGAAUAUUGCACAAUGGAGGGAACUCUGAUGCAGCGACGCCGCGUGAGUGAAGAAGGUCUUCGGAUCGUAAAACUCUGUCCUUGGUGAAGAAGAAAAUGACGGUAGCCAAGGAGGAAGCCCCGGCUAACUACGUGCCAGCCGCCGC